UACGUAGGGGGCAAGCGUUGUCCGGAAUCAUUGGGCGUAAAGAGCGUGUAGGCGGCCCGAUAAGUCCGCCGUGAAAGUCCAGGGCUCAACCCUGGAAUGCCGGUGGAAACUGUCGGGCUGGAGUCCGGAAGAGGCGAGUGGAAUUCCUGGUGUAGCGGUGAAAUGCGUAGAUAUCGGGAGGAACACCUGUGGCGAAGGCGGCUCUCUGGGACGGUACUGACGCUGAGACGCGAAAGCGUGGGGAGCGAACAGG
rnacentral:rRNA from 1 species